UCCGGUUUGACACCGGCAGUCUCCCUAGAGUGCCCGGCUUUACCCGCUGGUAACUAGGGACGAGGGUUGCGCUCGUUGCGGGACUUAACCCAACAUCUCACGACACGAGCUGACGACAGCCAUGCAGCACCUCGACUCCCGUCCCUUGCGGGAAAAAGGUGUUUCCACCCUCGUUCGUGAGCCGUUCGAGCCCAGGUAAGGUUCUUCGCGUUGCGUCGAAUUGAACCACAUGCUCCACCGCUUGUGCGGGCCCCCGUCAAUACCUUUGAGUUUUAGCCUCGCGGCCGUACUCCCCAGGCGGGAUGCUUAAUGCGUUAGCUUCGGCACGGAAGGGGUCGAUGUCCCCCCACACCUAGCAUCCAACGUUUACGGCUAGGACUAC
rnacentral:misc_RNA from 1 species